rnacentral:tRNA from 1 species
GCAGUUGUAGCUCAGCUGGUUAGAGCGCCUGUCUGUGGAACAGGAGGUCGGUGGUUCGAACCCACCCAACUGUA